CAUCCCUUCCCUGAUGGAAGUAAAAGCUUUAUAUGACAUGCUGAACCUAUUCAUUUGCAAAGGAAAGCGCUGUGAAGGAAAUAGUGUCACGUUUUCAAAAGCUGCUGGCUUUGACAUGUGCAUUGGGCCAGCUGAAAUCAUUGUGCACAAGAGGAAACUGGGAAUUGUGCUCGGAGCUGACAUAUGAUGUUUCCACAACUACCAUUACUGUAAGCUUUGGUCCUGCACUUCUGUCAGUGCCCACUUAAUACAGAUAUGUUACUAAACUUAUGCCUCAUUGUCAAACCACUACAUAAUCUGUAGAGGAGCUGGGCUAAAAAUAUUUCUAUUUCUUCAUGUCUUCAGGCUGACAAGGACUGUAAUUCUUAUGUGAAUGAUGCUGUUGGUAGCCAGAGAGAGGUACAGCCAUGUGCUGCUUCUAAGGCAUGUUCAGAUGCUGUGGAUGCCACGUGGGAGGUCUACCAGCUGGGCACAGGGAACAACAAUGUCACUCUGAAAAUACAAGUCCGUGUCUUUCCCCUUUGUGACAUCUACAUUUACGGAGAGAGAGAAAUGAGCCCUACAGGAAAAAAUAGUUUCUUGUGUUAAUAGCUUACCAUCUGGGAGUAUUGAGGAAUCCUGUUCCAUUUGAGAGAAUGCUGAUGUUGAGAAAUAUAAGCAAUAUUUUGUGGACAAUAUAAUGUUUGUAAAUGAAACUUUAAAGGCAGAAACGAAGCAAAUGUUUUAUUCCCAUGGAGUGCUCUGCUGGCAUGUUCCAGAAGGAUUAAAACAAUCGAAAACUGAAAGUGGGUGGCCUUUCAGUGCAAAGAUGGUUCUUGACACUUCAGUAGCACCAGAAAUAGCCUUCAGGCCUGAUGAUACCCUACUGGCAUAAUAAUUUCUGUUGUUAUCAGCUCUUUAUUUAAUAGUAAACAGGAUGGGUAUUGUUGGUUUUUUUUAAAAAAAUAAAUACUA
rnacentral:lncRNA from 1 species